rnacentral:rRNA from 1 species
CGGGCGACCGGCAAACGGGUGCGGAACACGUACACAACCUUCCUUCAAAUGGGGAAUAGCCCAGGGAAACUUGGAUUAAUACCCCGUAACAUUAUGGAGUGGCAUCACUUUAUAAUUAUAGCUCCGGCGUUUGGAGGUGGGUGUGCGGCUGAUUAGGUAGUUGGCGGGGUAACGGCCCACCAAGCCUUCGAUCAGUAACUGGUGUGAGAGCACGACCAGUCACACGGGCACUGAGACACGGGCCCG